UAAUACGUAUGGGGCGAGCGUUGUUCGGAGUUAUUGGGCGUAAAGGGCGUGUAGGCGGCCCGACAAGUCUGGUGUGAAAUCGCAGGGCUCAACCCUGCGGGUGCGCUGGAAACGGUCGGGCUGGAGUCCCGGGGGGGAAGCUGGAAUUCCUGGUGUAGGAGUGAAAUCUGUAGAGAUCAGGAAGAACACCGGUGGCGAAGGCGAGCUUCUAUUCGAGGACUGACGCUGAGGCGCGAAAGCGUGGGGAGCAAACAGG
rnacentral:rRNA from 1 species